rnacentral:rRNA from 1 species
AACGAACGCUGGCGGCAGGCUUAACACAUGCAAGUCGAGCGCCCCGCAAGGGGAGCGGCAGACGGGUGAGUAACGCGUGGGAACGUACCUUUUGGUUCGGAACAACUCCGGGAAACUGGAGCUAAUACCGGAUAAGCCCUAACGGGGAAAGAUUUAUCGCCGAAAGAUCGGCCCGCGUCUGAUUAGCUAGUUGGUGAGGUAACGGCUCACCAAGGCGACGAUCAGUAGCUGGUCUGAGAGGAUGAUCAGCCACACUGGGACUGAGACACGGCCCAGACUCCUACGGGAGGCAGCAGUGGGGAAUAUUGGACAAUGGGCGCAAGCCUGAUCCAGCCAUGCCGCGUGAGUGAUGAAGGCCUUAGGGCUGUAAAGCUCUUUUGUCCGGGAAGAUAAUGACUGUACCGGAAGAAUAAGCCCCGGCUAACUUCGUG